rnacentral:rRNA from 1 species
UACAGAGGGUGCAAGCGUUGUUCGGAAUUAUUGGGCGUAAAGCGCGUGUAGGCGGCUUUGCAAGUCGGGUGUGAAAUCCCUCAGCUUAACUGAGGAAGUGCGCCCGAAACUGCAGAGCUUGAGUACCGGAGAGGAUGGUGGAAUUCCCCAAGUAGAGGUGAAAUUUGUAGAUAUCGGGAGGAACACCUAUGGCGAAGGCAGCUCGCUGGGACGUUACUGACGCUGAGACGCGAAAGCGUGGGGAGCAAACAGG